UUGUUUCUGUGCAGUCUCUCUAAGCACUGCAUUUGGUGGACUUAGGGAAGACUAAGCCAGGGUGGGCUGGAUGUUGACACGGCCCAGCUGCUAGGUCAGGAAAAGCAAUUUUAUCCAUUGAGGGGGAAAUGUCUAUUGUCUCCACAUUCAUACACAUUUGAACCUUAGCAUGCCCCAAACUUUUUUCCUCCAGAGUCUGUCCUUCCUCUGGUGUCUCUUCUUGAACCCUGGCACCAUCCUCCUCCUUGUUGUUCAAGUAAAUGAGAGGAUCCAGAAGUCAUGCUUGGAUUCCCCUCUCCCCCAUCCCCACCUGCAUCAGCAGACCUCAUCAGUUUCAUUCCACAGGACCACAGCAUCUCCGGAAUCUUCCGCCCUCCACCCUCCAUCUGCUUCUUCAGCACCCACCACAGCAUCCCUGAAAAAAUCUACAGGAAUUUAUGGCUGUCUCCACUCCGCCUCACCUUGCAACAGAAUUCAUUGCUUUGAGACUGUCUCUCGUGUAGCCUGAGCUGGCCUCAAAUCCCCUGUGUAGCAGAGAAGGAUCAGGAGGUCUCUGCCACCUGAGUGAUGAUGAGAUUACAGGCCUGGUGGCAGACUUGCCGUGCUAUCAAUGGAACCCAGGACUUUGUGCACGCUGGGCAAGCAUUCUUCCAACUGAGCAGUAGCACUACCCAACUCAUUUUCUUUUUUUGAGACAAGGUUUCUAAGUGUAGCCCUGACUGUCCUGGAACUCACACUGUAGACCAGGCUGGCUUAAACUCAAAGAGGUCUGCCUGCCUCUGCCUCCUGAGUGCUGUAAUUACAUUUUUUUUAAAUAGCACUUAUGUUAGGCUUCUUGUUAUAAAGUCCUUAAUUUCUUCAUCUUGCCCUUUAAAGUCUGCUUUAAGACCCCCUAUAGGUUUCCUGGGCCAGUCUCGGUAUGCCCCGCCCACCGUACUGAUCUACAGCUGCUGUCUUCCUCAUGGUCACUGCUUUUGGGAUCUCCCGGCCUUUCUCACAUUCACAUGUUUUCCCGGCCCUUCGAAUGUGCAAUUCUCUCUUCUUGGUAUUGGGGCUCCCAAAUGUCGUCAUGAAGUAUGGCAACCUGGGCAGUUUGAACCAGAGAGGGUUGGAAGACUGAGAAGUCUAAAACCUUCCAAGGACGUGCUCUGAGCAGUGCCCUUCUACCUUGAAGGUCUGUAGGUGGCAAGAGUCUGCCCACACCUGUGGAUGAGCAUAGAAACACAGUUUGGAAUGGAAAAACAAGGUGAUGUGCAGCAGAGGCCAAAGAAGGUGGAUAAGGAACUGUCCCAGCUCUGGAACUCUCCCCUGAGCCCUUCAAGUGGACCAGUCCAAGGCCCCCAGCUGAGAGGGGCCUGGCAAGAAGGAAAGGGCGAGGAAGAGCUCCGGGGUGAGAACUACCUGAGCUUCUGUCAGACAUCCUGAGCAAGCGCAAAGAUUCUGUUAACCUUGGGACUUUGAAUGCUGUCUCAGUUUCCUUACUUGUAAAAUGGAGAUCAGGUCUCUUAUUUCUCAGGAUUAUUGUAAGGACUGAAAUAGAUGUGUAUUAAAAGAUUAUGAACAGUGAAAUAAAGAUCAUGCGACCACAGCA